rnacentral:tRNA from 1 species
GCCCCCGUAACUCAAUUGGUAGAGUAACUCCCUUUUAAGGAGGCGGUUCCAGGUUCGAGUCCUGGUGGGGGCA